UCAACCUAUUAGGACUGCUUUUAUCAGUCUCCAUAUCCAAACACUUGCUCAAAUUAAGCAUUUCUCCUAGCUUUAAUUGCUCAUGAUUUUCCUUCACUUCCUUUAGUUAUCCACAUAAUUAAUGUUUUUCUAUAUAUUUUCUCUGCAAAUCCAUUUAAUUUUUGUUGUCAGCUUCCCAUUCAUUCUGCCAGACUAUUUCAAUUUCCAUCCUUUUUCUGAAUUGUGAGUUAUUUCCUUUAGGUUAAACAAAAACCAUGUCAGAGAGAGCCAAUGAUGUCUAUGUAGACAUCUCGGAUCAACCGAAUGGAUCUUCAGGAUCCAAGGGUGAUGUCUACAAAAUGUUGAAAACGUUGAUCUUUAUUGAAUCAACGAUAUUUGUGUGCAUUAUGGGGCUCUUAAUCACUACCUUGACGGUGGAUAGAUUGCGGAAUUCCAGGAUUUGGGAUUUUGAGAUGUGGAAAUGGUGUUUCUUAAUACUGGCUGUUCUCUGCGGUAGACUGAUUGGUUACCUGUUAACGCUGGCUUUGGUUAAGUUGAUUUGGAAGUUCUGUUCAUGGAGGCAGUGGGUUGAGAGAGAACUUUACUUCGCAUAUGGAGUAAAGAAGAGCAUCAUUGUUUUUAUAUGGCUGGCUUUGGUUUUCCUAGCUUGGGCUCUACUGUUUAACAGUGGGGUUAAGCGAAGCAAGGAUGUGAAAAAGAUUGUAAAUGAUGUUACUAGAGGUCUUGCUGGUUGUCUCAUUGGAGUUGCUAUAUGGUCAGUCAAAACUUUGUUAGUUAAGCUUCUAGCUUCUUUCCAUGUGCAGACUUUGUUUCAUAGGGUUAAGGAAGCAAACUACAAUCGUAAGAUCCUUGAAGCUUUUUCAAAAAAGAAAAAGGUCCAGCAAGACACAAGGGAAGAGUUGUUGAAUGCGAUCCGGGAUAAAAAGCUGCCUCCUCUCUUCGGUGAUUGUGACGUGAGUAAAGAGAUCAACAUAGAAGGUGAGGACGGAGCGAAAAAAGCCGCUAAUGAGAUUUUCAAGAAACUCGCGAAGAAGACUAAUGGUGAAAAAAGACAGAGCGCACGGGGAAUAGGGGAAGGGAGGCAGAGCAUGAUGGUGGAAGGGAUGCAGAGCAUUGGCAACAUACCUAACCUAAGCCCCCAAUCGUCGCUGCCAGUCACCUCCAAUCACCAUCGCGAGCCGUCUCCGCCAACCACUUCCAGAGGUAAGUACAUGCCCUUGAAAGACCUACUUGACUGCAUAGAAAAAGAACUAGUGUGUCCCGCUUGUCAACUGGUAAAGAAAAAAAUGUGCAUCCAUUGCCAAGUGGUAAAGGAAACGCGUAAACAUUUCCUAGCGUUGGCAGAAGAUAUAUCCUUCAAGGAUUGGGUUGAACAAAUUUUAAAAUAUCAUCGCGGAGUUGUAGCAGAUGAUAAAGCUGCAGAGGAAGAUAAAAAACGGAUAAAGAAAUCAGUCUUCAGAAAUUGGGUGGUUAAAGUUUACAAGGACUAUGAAUCGGUAAAUAGCGCCUUGAAGUAUAGAAAAACAGCAGUUGACGAGUUGAACAAGCUUGCUUCUGUGGUGGUGCUUUUUGUAAUCAUUAUUGUGUGGUUACUUUUCAUGGAAUAUUUAAGCAUCAAAAUAGUUGUCUUCAUCACUUCUCAACUUUUACUUGUGGCUUUCAUGUUUGGUAACACUGCCAAGACUGUAUUUGAAGCCAUCAUAUUUGUGUUUGUGAUGCACCCAUUUGAAAUUGGCGAUCGUUGUCUAAUUGAUGACAAACAGAUGAUUGUUGAUGAGAUGGAAAUAUUAACUACAACCUUCUUGGGAUCUGAUAAUGCAAGAAUAUGCUAUCCGAAUUCAGUUUUAGCUACCAAAUCUAUCAGCAACUUUUAUAGAAGCCCGCCGCCAAUGUUAGAUUCACUGGAAUUUGCUAUUCGUCGUGAUACGGAAAUCGAACUGAUUAAAGAGCUGCAAUUUGUAAUAAAAAAGUACUUGGAGAGCAAUCCUAGACGCUGGCGACCUGACCACAGCUUACAAUUCAAGGAGAUUGAGGGUGAUAAUAUGAAAGUGAUUCUCUAUUUUAAUCACACCUUAAACUUCCAUGAUGCUGCAAAGAGAGACAAACGAAGAUCUGAUCUGGUGUUAGAUAUGAACACAAUUUUCGAAGUUCUUGGGAUUAAAGAUAAAGAUCUUUCGCCUCUGCAGUUUCACCUUAACUCUAUUGGGUCAAUGGCCUCAGCAUUUCCACCUCCUUUCAUGAGGACUGCCUUCCUUUGAAUUACCCUUCGCUCUCUUAUGGUGUUAGAAGCCUUCAGUUCCUUGUUGAUUACUACUUUUUUUCCCUGUCGCUUUAAAUGACUAUGUUAUGCCAUAAUGAUUUGGAAUAUUAUGUUCAUCUAUAGAAAAUUGCUAAAAAUUUGAGUUUAUGAGUUGAGUAUGGAGUGAACUGGCCGCAUUUUUGUCAAAGUUU
rnacentral:misc_RNA from 1 species